AGCGAACGCUGGCGGCAGGCCUAACACAUGCAAGUCGAACGAAGUCUUCGGACUUAGUGGCGGACGGGUGAGUAACACGUGGGAACGUGCCUUUAGGUUCAGAAUAACUCAGGGAAACUUGUGCUAAUACCGAAUGUGCCCUUCGGGGGAAAGAUUUAUCGCCUUUAGAGCGGCCCGCGUCUGAUUAGCUAGUUGGUGAGGUAAAGGCUCACCAAGGCGACGAUCAGUAGCUGGUCUGGGAGGAUGAUCAGCCACAUUGGGACUGAGACACGGCCCAAACUCCUACGGGAGGCAGCAGUGGGGAAUCUUGCGCAAUGGGCGAAAGCCUGACGCAGCCAUGCCGCGUGAAUGAUGAAGGUCUUAGGAUUGUAAAAUUCUUUCACCGGGGACGAUAAUGACGGUACCCGGAGAAGAAGCCCCGGCUAACUUCGUGCCAGCAGCCGCCGUAAAAC
rnacentral:rRNA from 1 species